rnacentral:rRNA from 1 species
CCUACGGGUGGCUGCAGUGAGGAAUAUUGCUCAAUGGGCGCGAGCCUGAACCAGCCAAGUCGCGUGAAUGAGGACGGCCCUACGGGUUGUAAACACCUUUUGCCGGGGAGCAACGGGCGUAACGUGUGGCGCCACUGAGAGUACCCGGAGACAAAGCAUCGGCUAACUCCGUGCCAGCAGCCGCGGUAAAACGGGGGAUGCGAGCUUUAUCUGGCUUUAAUGGGUUAACAGGACGCGUAGGCGGAUCGUUAGGUCAGUGGUAAAGUUGAGGGGCUCAACCCCUUCCCGCCAUUGAAACUGGCGCUCUUGAGUGGAAGAGAGGUAUGCGGAAUGCGUGGUGUAGCGGUGAAAUGCAUAGAUAUCACGCAGAACCCCGGUUGCGAAGGCAGCAUGCCGGCUUCCGACUGACGCUGAAGCACGAAAGCGUGGGGAUCGAACAGGAUUAGAUACCCGGGUAGUC